GAUGAACGCUGGCGGCGUGCCUAAUACAUGCAAGUCGAGCGAACAGACGAGGAGCUUGCUCCUCUGACGUUAGCGGCGGACGGGUGAGUAAUACGUGGAUAACCUACCUAUAAGACUGGGAUAACUUCGGGAAACCGGAGCUAAUACCGGAUAAUAUAUUGAACCGCAUGGUUCAAUAGUGAAAGACGGUUUUGCUGUCACUUAUAGAUGGAUCCGCGCCGCAUUAGCUAGUUGGUAAGGUAACGGCUUACCAAGGCAACGAUGCGUAGCCGACCUGAGAGGGUGAUCGGCCACACUGGAACUGAGACACGGUCCAGACUCCUACGGGAGGCAGCAGUAGGGAAUCUUCCGCAAUGGGCGAAAGCCUGACGGAGCAACGCCGCGUGAGUGAUGAAGGUCUUCGGAUCGUAAAACUCUGUUAUUAGGGAAGAACAAAUGUGUAAGUAACUAUGCACGUCUGGACGGUACCUAAUCAGAAAGCCACGGCUAACUACGU
rnacentral:rRNA from 1 species